rnacentral:rRNA from 1 species
CCUACGGGAGACAGCAGUGGGGAAUAUUGCACAAUGGGGGGAACCCUGAUGCAGCGACGCCGCGUGGGUGAGGAAGUACUUCUGUAUGUAAAGCCCUAUCAGCAGGGAAGAAAAGUACGGUACCUAACUAACAAGCCCCGGCUAACUACAGUCCAGCAGCCGCGGUAAUACGUAGGGGGCAAGCGUUAUCCGGAUUUACUGGGCGUAAGGGGAGCGUAGGCGGCUUGCCAAGUCUGAUGUGAAAGGCCGGGGCUCAACCCCGAGAUUGCAUUGGAAACUGGCAUGCUGGAGUGCCGGAGGGGCAAGCGGAAUUCCUAGUGUAGCGGUGAAAUGCGUAGAUAUUAGGAGGAACACCGGUGGCGAAGGCGGCUUGCUGGACGGUAACUGACGUUGAGGCUCGAAAGCGUGGGGAGCAAACAGGAUUAGAUACCCCUGUAGUC